AGCGUUGUUCGGAAUUACUGGGCGUAAAGCGCACGUAGGCGGAUCAGAAAGCUUGGGGGUGAAAUCCCCGGGGCUCAACCCUCGGAACUGCCUUCAAAACUAUUGGUCUUGAGUUCCGAGAGUAGGUGAGUGGAAUUCCGNAGUGUAGAGGUGAAAUUCGUAGAUAUUCUGGAGGAACACCAGUGGCGAAGGCGGCUCACUGGCUCGAUACUGACGCUGAGGUGCGAAAGCGUGGGGAGCAAACAGGAUUAGAU
rnacentral:rRNA from 1 species